GGAGACAGAGAGAGAAAAGAGUCAUUGUCAAUAGCUGUAAGAGGACCAAAACCUACCAUUAAAUACUCCCUCUUUGGCACAGUGAAAGAAAAGAGACAUUGAGCUGCGGCACAGGCAUUCAUAUGGAUCGGUGGAGAGAUAAGAGGAUCACGAGACCCUUCUUUUAAUUACUCCAAACAUGCAUGGCCUGUCCCGUUUUGCUAAUUUCUAUGCAUCAACAUAUCGCUAUCCUCAUCACAGGAUUUCCAUCAUUCAAUGGAGUUUCUUCUCUUUUCACAAGUAUGUUGGUUUGAGAGGUUGAAGCUGCCAGCAUGAUCUGGUAAUCAACCAUACUCUCUGGUAUCUACUCAUUUUUUAGUUCAAAUUCAAGGUUUCUGGUGUCAAUCAGUGGUGAAAAAAGGGAUGAAAUUUUUUGGAACAGGUUUUAAGUUUACCUGGUUUGUUCUUUUGUUUUAUUUUUUUCAAAGUUCUCAUAUUCUUCAAAAAAGACUUGUUCUAAACUAGAAUUAGAAAGCUACCCAAAGGCAAAAAAUUUUGUUGUUAUAAGAUGUGGUUCCAUCAGGUCAUCUUGCAGCUUCAAUCACUCAAUAACCAACAGAGUAUUUCUUUCACUGAUGAUUUCUCGUACAUUUUCAACCACAGUCUCCAUUUCAGGUUGAUGGGUGUUGCCUCUCAAUUGAUUCAAGUCUCAUGCUAUAGACGCAUACACAGUUUUAAAUGAUGGUACAGUUGCAUUAAUUUUGAACUGUUACGAGUUGAUAUCAUGUGCUACAAGUAUGGUCCUAAAACAUGACCUCAGACUCACUCCUGCAAAGAAAAUGUUUAUGAACAUUAAGAUGAGACACCUAAAAGUUGUCCUUCUUAAUAUAUUUUUGAGAUAUGAAUAUAUAUAUAUAUAUAUAUAUAUAUUUAUAUAUAUAUAUAUAUGCAUAAAAGCUUAAAAAUAAACAAAAAGAUAAAUAUAGUUGUAUUCAGUGUUUCAUGCAGGUAAUGUUAAAAAAAUUGAAUUACUGCAAUUAAGACAUUUUUCAGCAACAUCAUGUAACUAUGCAAGUCUGCUAAGAAACUGGCUAUCCAUGACAAACGUAAAAGAAUGUUCUGAAAAAUUCUAUUUAAAUAUCUUAAGAUCUCAUUCAGAUUGAUGGCAAUUUUACUUGACAGAUUUCGGUAUAAUGUAGCUCUUUUGAGCUUGUCAAUGUACUGUUUGAAGAAGCCAAGAUGUCUUAAAAUCAAAUUUCUAUACUUCAACCUUGCUUGGAGAUAGCUAAGUUUUGAUGACUAUUAAUCUUGCCCUAAAUUGCAUUUGAUUAAAAAAAUAUAUUUAAAAGUUGAAGUAAUUUAUUUAUGUGGCUAUGCGUGCCUUUCAUCCGGUUACAUUGGAAACUCUUAGUUUGGCAUGGAUUCUUAUAAUGUGUGUGAUAUCCUAUUAAACUCUUACAGCUGUUGUAGAUGGUUGCUUUUAUUUUAGGUAUAUGACAGAGGAGAAUUAAUCAGUGAAAAUGGCGUGACAAAUAGGCUGUGUUUUAAGGUACUAGGUGGUUAUAAUUAGCAUGUAUUGCUUGGCAGUGGUUCGUAUAAUAAUGUGUGAAUCUAAAUUUCUUGCUGAUAGAUAUGUUCUCUCUUAAAAUGUUUUUCUGCAACGAUAACAGUUUAGCAACUGACUUAAAUAUCAUUUGGGCUAAAUAAUACAAAAUAAAGCAAAAAUGUUCUCACGAACAAUCCCUAGCAAAAGAUUGGUCCUAGUUCAAAUCAUGCAUCUAUGCUUAUUUGCUUUUAAGAAGUUAAAACCAGGUAUAUUCAAAUUGAAUUAUAGUUUCUGAUAAAUCAUAUAUAUAUACUUUAUUUGAGUUUUCUGAAUUUACUUUCUGAUAUUUUCUUUGCAGACAUUGCAUCGUGAGAUGUGCUGCUUACGCCAAAUUAUUAAUGAAUGAAAUACUGCAACGAACUAAGUCUGUAUUCUACUAAUGUAGGAUCAUUUCAUUUUUUAGUUUGUUCUAUAUUUGUUUCCCAUCUACUGUGCCAAGCCGUUAAAUUUAUUGCUAUUCCAUAAAA